rnacentral:rRNA from 1 species
CAGAACGAACGUUGGCUGCGUGGAUUAGGCAUGCAAGUCGGGGGAAUCCCAGCAAUGGGGGAACCGGCGUAAGGGGCAGUUAUGCAUGGGUACCUACCUUUGGGUUCGGGAUAGCCAUCAGAGAUGGUGGGUAAUACCGGAUGAUGUCGUGAGACCAAAGAUUUAUCGCCCGAAGAGGGGCCCAUGUGAUAUUAGCUAGUUGGUGAGGUAAUGGCUCACCAAGGCGAAGAUGUCUAGCGGGUGUGAGAGCACGACCCGCGCCACUCGCACUGAGACACUGGCGAGACACCUACGGGUGGCUGCAGCCGAGGAUCUUCGGCAAUGAGCGCAAGCUUGACCGAGCGACGCCGCGUGAGCGAUGAAGGCCUUCGGGUUGUAAAGCUCUUUAGUGGGGGAGAAAAGCCAGCAAUGGUGUGAUCUAUCCCAAAAAUAAGCACGGGCUAAGUUCGUGCCAGCAGCCGCGGUAAGACGAACCGUGCGAACGUUGUUCGGAAUCACUGGGCUUAAAGGGAGCGUAGGCGGGCUAUCAAGUCUGGGGUGAAAUCCCGCGGCUCAACCGUGGAACUGCCUCAGAUACUGACGGCCUCGAAGGGAGAUAGGGGCAUGCGGAACUGUAGGUGGAGCGGUGAAAUGCGUUGAUAUCUACAGGAACUCCGGUGGCGAAAGCGGCGUGCUGGAUCUCUUUCUGACGCUGAGGCUCGAAAGCUAGGGGAGCAAACGGGGAUUAGAUUACCCCGGUAGUCCUAGCCCUUAAACGAUGGGUACUAGAUAU